UAUAAAUACCUGUAAUUGUUCUCAGGGCCCCUAUAAUCCAGUGAGUUGUGUUCGUGCGAGUUCGAGUUCCUGUGCGGGCUCUGUGUGGCCAUCGCAGCCGGGUUCGGUGGAGGUGGCGGCUCCAUUUUACUGAAGGAGCUCACCUAUCCGAUAAACUUGCCACGCUCCAACAGUGCCGUUAUGUAAAGUAUCAACGACGUGGAAGACAUCGCCGCAGCGAAAAGACAUUUCCCCAUCAGUCGGUUCCGUGUAGUGGAAAUGAGUUUUUACGUGAAAUGAAUCACCCGCUGUAAUGAAAUAAUAUAGUUUAAGUAAGACCAGCUGAAUUGUAAAUGAAUGUGAUUCUUAUGAAUAUAUCCGAAAAUAUAUGGAAAUUAAUAAAUAUUAAUGAAAAA